CGGGGGCUGUACUGAAUCCCAGUCGCUUGUGUGACUUAGUGAACUCCACGUUGAAGAAUGUCACCAACGCCUGAAUGAAGUCAUUGCGACGCACCUGGCAUUCAAAACACAUUCAAGCUGUUACUUUGCAGCAACCACGACCGAGGCAGAGGAUAUGAAAAAUAUUACAUACACAGGUGAGAAUUAGAUACUUUAGUUAUUGGGUGUGGGUUUGUUUAAAAAUUAUUAAAACCAUGAUAUCAAACACGUGCUAACUUAAAGAGCCUUUAAUGUGCAUUAAGAAAUAAAGACAAAUACUAUACAGUUUUUUGUACUAUAAAGUAUGGCCACUUGAUAUGAUUUGAGCUAAUCAUUUAUUGUGGUUAAGCCACUGCUUAUAUAUAGUCUGCAAUUGCUCUACCGCACCAAGAGCUGAUAAAGAAAUCUCAUCAGAACCAA